ACCACGGGAGCAGCAGUCGAGGAUUUUUCUCAAUGGGGGAAACCCUGAAGGAGCGACGCCGCGUGAGGGAUGAAGGUCUUCGGAUUGUAAACCUCUGUCAUUCGGGAGCAAUGCUGUUCACCUAACACGUGAACAGUUGAUAGUACCGGAAGAGGAAGCCGUGGCUAACUCUGUGCCAGCAGCCGCGGUAAU
rnacentral:rRNA from 1 species